rnacentral:rRNA from 1 species
GACAGAGGGUGCAAACGUUGUUCGGAAUUACUGGGCGUAAAGCGCGUGUAGGCGGCUUGGUAAGUCGGGUGUGAAAGCCCUGGGCUCAACCUAGGAAGUGCACUCGAAACUGCGUAGCUAGAGUCCUGGAGAGGAAGGUGGAAUGCUUGGUGUAGAGGUGAAAUUCGUAGAUAUCAAGCGGAACACCGGUGGCGAAGGCGGCCUUCUGGACAGUGACUGACGCUGAGACGCGAAAGCGUGGGGAGCAAACAGG